UACAUAGGGUGCGAGCGUUAUUCGGAAUCACUGGGCGUAAAGCGCGCGUAGGCGGGUUGACAAGUCAGGUGUGAAAUCCCACGGCUCAACCGUGGAAUUGCGCUUGUGACUGGCGGGCUCGAGUACGGUAGAGGGGGGUGGAAUUCCUGGUGUAGCAGUGAAAUGCGUAGAGAUCAGGAGGAACACCGAUGGCGAAGGCAGCCCCCUGGGCCUGUACUGACGCUCAUGCACGAAAGCGUGGGGAGCAAACAGG
rnacentral:rRNA from 1 species